UACGUAGGGGGCUAGCGUUGUCCGGAAUCAUUGGGCGUAAAGCGCGUGUAGGCGGUUCGGUAAGUCCGCUGUGAAAGUCGGGGGCUCAACCCUCGAAAGCCGGCGGAUACUGUCGGACUAGAGUGCGGAAGAGGCGAGUGGAAUUCCUGGUGUAGCGGUGAAAUGCGCAGAUAUCAGGAGGAACACCGAUGGCGAAGGCAGGUCUCUGGGCAUUAACUGACGCUGAGGAGCGAAAGCAUGGGGAGCGAACAGG
rnacentral:rRNA from 1 species